rnacentral:rRNA from 1 species
GAUGAACGCUGGCGGCGUGCCUAAUACAUGCAAGCCGAGCGAACGGACGAGAAGCUUGCUUCUCUGAUGUUAGCGGCGGACGGGUGAGUAACACGUGGAUAACCUACCUAUAAGACUGGGAUAACUUCGGGAAACCGGAGCUAAUACCGGAUAAUAUUUUGAACCGCAUGGUUCAAAAGUGAAAGACGGUCUUGCUGUCACUUAUAGAUGGAUCCGCGCUGCAUUAGCUAGUUGGUAAGGUAACGGCUUACCAAGGCAACGAUGCAUAGCCGACCUGAGAGGGUGAUCGGCCACACUGGAACUGAGACACGGUCCAGACUCCUACGGGAGGCAGCAGUAGGGAAUCUUCCGCAAUGGGCGAAAGCCUGACGGAGCAACGCCGCGUGAGUGAUGAAGGACUUCGGAUCGUAAAACUCUGUUAUUAGGGAAGAACAUAUGUGUAAGUAACUGUGCACAUCUUGACGGUACCUAAUCAGAAAGCCACGGCUAACUACGUG